AUUGAACGCUGGCGGCAGGCCUAACACAUGCACGUCGAGCGGAGCGGCGGACGGGUGAGUAAUGGAUGGGGAUAUGCCCGAUAGAGGGGGAUAACUACUGGAAACGGUGGCUAAUACCGCAUACUAUCGGAUGAACCCAUAUGGGAUUAGCUAGUAGGUGGGGUAAAGGCUCACCUAGGAGAAGAUCUCUAGCUGGUCUGAGAGGAUGAUCAGUCACACUGGAACUGAGACACGGUCCAGACGCCUACGGGAGGCAGCAGUGGGUAAUAUUGGACAAUGGGCGAAAGCCUGAUCCAGCCAUGCCGCGUGUGGGAAGAAGGUCUUCGGAUUGUAAAGCACUUUAAGUUGGGAGGCGUUACCAACAGAAUAAGCACCGGCUAACGUCGUGCCAGCAGCCGCGGUAAUAC
rnacentral:rRNA from 1 species